CUGUGUCUUGCAACGCUGGUUCACCGCCUGUCGGUGCCAACUGGCGUUUUGCGGGACGUCCUGUCGGUGGCGAGCCAGGGAUCUUAGUUGUGCUCUUGGUUUCGAUCUUGGGCCGGCUCUGGUUCCGGGCCGCUUUCAUAAUCCCGCCGCGGUGCUCUUUACCGAGUGUCGAGGCGGGCCGGCACGUUUACUUUGAACAAAUUAGAGUGCUUCAAGCAGGCUCUUUCCAGCCUGUAUACUGUGUGCAUGGAAUAAUGGAAUAGGACCUCGGUUCUAUUUUGUUGGUUUCCGGAAUCUGAGGUAAUGAUCAAUGGGGACAGGCGGGGGCAUUCGUAUUGCGACGUUAGAGGUGAAAUUCUUGGAUCGUCGCAAGACGGACCGAAGCGAAAGCAUUUGCCAAGUAUGUUCCCGUCGAUCAAGAACGAAAGUUAGAGGUUCGAAGGCGAUCAGAUACCGCCCUAGUUCUAACCAUAAACAAUGCCUGCCAGCGAUCCGCCGGCGUCCCUCCGAUGACCCGCGGGCAGCUUCCGGGAAACCAGAGCUUUUGGGUUCCGGGGGAAGUAUGGUUGCAAAGCUGAAACUUAAAGGAAUUGACGGAAGGGCACCACCAGGAGUGGAGCCUGCGGCUUAAUUUGACUCAACACGGGAAAACUCACCAGGCCCGGACACCGGAAGGAUUGACAGAUUGAUAGCUCUUUCUUGAUUCGGUGGGUGGUGGUGCAUGGCCGUUCUUAGUUGGUGGAGCGAUUUGUCUGGUUAAUUCCGAUAACGAACGAGACUCUAGCCUACUAACUAGACGUAUCUGGUAUCAGCAAUCGUGCUACCAGCGAUCAUAUCUCUUCUUAGAGGGACAGGCGGCUUCUAGCCGCACGAGACUGAGCAAUAACAGGUCUGUGAUGCCCUUAGAUGUCCUGGGCCGCACGCGCGCUACACUGAAGGAAUCAGCGUGUCUUCCCUGUCCGAAAGGACCGGGUAACCCGCUGAACCUCCUUCGUGCUAGGGAUUGGGGCUUGCAAUUGUUCCCCAUGAACGAGGAAUUCCCAGUAAGCGCGAGUCAUAAGCUCGCGUUGAUUACGUCCCUGCCCUUUGUACACACCGCCCGUCGCUACUACCGAUUGAAUGAUUUAGUGAGGUCUUCGGACCGGUGCGCGGAGGCGGUUUACCGCUCCCGAUGUUGUCGGAAAGAUGACCAAACUUGAUCAUU
rnacentral:rRNA from 1 species